ACUGCACGGAAGACGUUGGGAAAAAAGUAGCAGCAGAAUGGAAUCAAGAUACGAACUGGUAUGGCUUAUUUUUCCUGUCAGAUGAAGGAAGCACACUCUUCCUUAGUCAAAGGAAUUUUAUUUUUAAAAUAGAUUUCAUAUUUUUCUUCCUGCGAUCGCACCAAAAGGUCACACGGUUUAUGCUACUGUAACUUGUCACUGUGGGAUUUGAAAUGAUAAAAACAAGCAAUUUGCAAUCAAAUGUUCACAAGGGAAGAAGUUUAGAAGAACAUUCCUCUUUAUGCAUGACCGCUUGUUCCAAAUAAAUAUAAAUAACCUGAAAAACAGAGUGUCUUGUAAGAUGGCUCACAGCAUUGAGAACUUGAUGAAUCAAGCACUUCAAAGAAGGAACAUAAAAUUCUGGGAACUUGAGAUACAAGAAAAAGCGCAUGAAAGAUUGCAAAUAGAACAGCUAGUUUAAGAUACUACCUAGCAGCUUUUACAACAAGUGUUUCUUUUAGUACCAGAAGCACAGUAAGCUUUCUGAGCAGAGGACUCCAUUCCCACUCUGCCUGCAGCCUGACCCACACAGCUCCACUCUCCCCACUGGAAAAGAAUCAUAGUUUUUAUAUCACUACAUACACAGUCAAAUGCAAAAUUUGCUUUGUUGUUGCUUUAUUUCCUACUCCUACUUACAUAGAAACUGUUUUAAUCUCCUACAUACAGGAAAAAGACUGUGCCACACAAUUCAGAUCUGAUUAAACAGUAUCACAACAGCUGGUGAGUGAAAGCUGGUCAGUCCUCAUCACUGACCAACUGUGCUGUCAACUCUGAAGGUGCCUUUUUAUCCCUUCAAUUGCGUUACCACAGCAUCCACAACAACCGAUUGCUAAGACAAUUAUAGUUUUCAGAUGGUGGGAAAAGGCACCGAUGGUGAAGGCAUGCAGCAGACUCCUUCCUGUUCUUUCCACUGGAGUACACUGCAGUGAAAAGAAGGAGCUACGCACUACUUCAAGGUUUGAAUCCCAGCAUGGAAGGACUAAAAUGUCCAACAUACAGUGAAGAUCCAGUUUCAGUCCCUGACAACGAGAAACAGGCUUUGAAAAAAACCCUUAAUGCAGGUAUUGGUAUGUCAUUUAGGUAAAUCCAAAAUACACCACCAAGAGAUUAAUGCUGAAUUCAGCAAAAAAGCUUUUUUUAAUCUGCUUGCUUUCAUUAAGUACGUGCCCAUAGAGAAAGCAGAAUGCCCAAAUAUUUUUUCCCUCUACAAUCCAUGUUCAGCACCGCACCAAUCAACAAGGACAAGCAGGAGCCAGCAAGACAGUAUGAGUGAAAAGCAACAGCCACUAGGAAAAAAAAAGAACAAAGCACACACAAUUAAGGAGGAAAUACAUUUGACAUAGUGUAACGUUAAGUACUUUGAAUUAAAAGAUACAGACAGGCUCUAGCCACAAUGGUUGAAAAUUCAGAUCUAUCAAGUAAGCUGGCUGGAUGCCCUACAUACCCAGCUUGUUACUCCACUGCUUAUGACUGCAACGACAGUAACUUAUGGAAAUAUUUUGUUCAGCAGUCCAUUUUCUGGGACAAAGCGUCGAGCAAGGUGAAAGCAUAAGGAAACAGAACCUAGAGAACCAGAACCUAGGGGAAAAAAUGAAUCUUACAAAUUCCCAAACUUUCCUACUAUGCUGACUCCUCUACCUUUUGAUCAUGGACAACAGAUUUUUCAUUGCUGUCCCAUGAACGUUUCUCUUAAAUGUAGAAAGCACAAACCCAAGCUGAAGGCAGAUCAGCCACCACUACUAACAGAAUCACGAAUUUCCAAGAAUGACUCGCUUUUUCUUAGUAUAAUACAAUAGGUAAGUUAUUGAAUCUUAGCUCUGUCUUGCGUGGGUGAGAGAAAAAGCACAUCUAAAUUCACAAACUUUGGUAGAAAAUGAACUGGUGUAGACCGUGGUACAACAUGAUCUACAAAGUGAACACACAAAGGCAUUCUGAUGUUGUAUCAUAGUGCCCCUCCCAGCCAAACCAGCAAGGGCAUGUCUACUGACACCAGAGAGAUAACAAAAAAGUGUUUCUUGUGCAAAUCAACGUGAGACUUGGUGACCAAUGACUUAAAAAAAAAAAUCUCAAUGUUAUGGCAAGCAGAAAGAAAGAAAGAGGAACAAAUAAUCUGGAAGAACCCACUGAAACCCUAAAAUCCUUCUGAAGGCACUCAGUAGCAGGCAUAGCACUCAGUGCCCACAGCAAUGCUAUAAAGAAAGGACACUUCAAGUACUUGUAUUUUAGACUCUGGAUUCUGAAAAAGAAGCACAACUAAGCUGCUCAGUAGCUCAGCUGAAGAGGACUUUCACCAUCUCCUGUUUGCCAUCAGCAGAUCUGAUCAGUCUUGACCUGGAAAGGUGACUACCACAACUAGCCAACGCAGCUGAGUGCCUUGGAACAUUCUCAAUAGCACAAAGCAUACUAGCACUUGUAAAUGAAAGAGAACUUUGCUUUUUCACAGAGAAGAUAAUGACAUCACAAGCCACAGGGGCUCAGUUACUUGCUCUGUCUCUACAGUUCUAUCAAAAUUCAGCGGCUGUACAGCAUUGGAAAACAUGGCAUAUCCUUAGCUGUAUUGCAGGCAAAGAAAGAAUCCCUGCAACUGCCAAUUCUAAGGUAGCUCUCCAUAAUGAGAGCCAAUUAAAUUACACCUUGAAUGAAUCAACAUAGCACAAGUUAAGAAGUGGCAAGGCAUGCAUGCAGAGACCUGCAUUUUCAAGGAACAAGAACUGGCAGAAUCAGGCACAAUGAUGCAUUUACAAUAAACUGUACUCAUACAAAA